UACGUAGGGUGCGAGCGUUGUCCGGAAUUAUUGGGCGUAAAGAGCUUGUAGGCGGUUUGUCGCGUCUGCUGUGAAAUUUCGGGGCUCAACCCCGAACUUGCAGUGGGUACGGGCAGACUAGAGUGUGGUAGGGGAGACUGGAAUUCCUGGUGUAGCGGUGAAAUGCGCAGAUAUCAGGAGGAACACCGGCGGCGAAGGCGGCGCUCUGGGCCGGAACUGACGCUGAGGAGCGAAAGCGUGGGUAGCAAACAGG
rnacentral:rRNA from 1 species